CCUCAGUAACGGCGAGUGAAGCGGCAACAGCUCAAAUUUGAAAUCUGGCUCCUUCGGGGCCCGAGUUGUAAUUUGCAGAGGAUGCUUCGGGUACGGGUUCCUUCCGAGUUCCCUGGAACGGGACGCCAUAGAGGGUGAGAGCCCCGUCUGGUAGGACACCCAGCCCGUGUGAAGCUCCCUCGACGAGUCGAGUAGUUUGGGAAUGCUGCUCUAACGGGAGGUAUACUCCUUCCAAGGCUAAAUACCGGCUGGAGACCGAUAGCGCACAAGUAGAGUGAUUGAAAGAUGAAAAGCACUUUGAAAAGAGAGUCAAAUAGCAGGUGAAAUUGUUGAAAGGGAAGCGCUCGCUACCAUACAUGGGUUCGGCGGUUCAACCGGGGCCACGCCCCGGGGCACUCCGCCGGCCCAGGCCAGCAUCAGCUUUCCGUCGGGGGCAAAGACGUCGGGAAUGUGGCUCCCCUCCGGGGGAGUGUUAUAGCCUCGGCGUGUCAUACCCUUCGGGGGGCUGAGGUACGCGCUUCUGCAAGGAU
rnacentral:rRNA from 1 species